rnacentral:rRNA from 1 species
GACGAACGCUGGCGGCGUGCCUAACACAUGCAAGUCGAGCGGAGUUAGUUUGCAGCUUGCUGCAAACUAACUUAGCGGCGGACGGGUGAGUAACGCGUGGAUAACCCGCCUUUUACAGGGGGAUAACACAGGAAACUUGUGCUAAUACCGCAUAACAUAUCGAGGUGGCAUCACCUUGAUAUCAAAGGAGUAAUCCGGUAGAAGAUGGAUCCGCGUCCGAUUAGCUAGUUGGCGGGGGAAAGGCCCACCAAGGCGACGAUCGGUAGCCGAACUGAGAGGUUGAUCGGCCACAUUGGGACUGAGACACGGCCCAGACUCCUACGGGAGGCAGCAGUGGGGAAUAUUGCGCAAUGGGGGAAACCCUGACGCAGCAACGCCGCGUGAAGGAUGAAGGCUUUCGGGUUGUAAACUUCUUUAGUCGGGGACGAAUGGAUGACGGUACCCGAAGAAUAAGCCACGGCUAACUACGUGCCAGCAGCCGCCGUAA